UAGGGGUCCUUAGGGUGGGCCAACUUGGGGCCCUGCGUCCGCACCCGAAAGCGCGAGCCGACGCGGGAGGAAGUCGGGACCGCGCGUGGGCGCCGCACCCUUGGCGGUGGAGGUUGGCGGGAACCCUCGGCCGCUCGGGGGAGCUGGCUCGGGAGCACCGGGAGGUGGAAGCCCGCGCGCCGCACUCCCGGGGCCGCAAUGCGGCCGCCGCGCUCCGCGGGUCGGCUGCUUCCCUGCUCAGCUCGCGGCGGGCAGGCAGCCCCCGGGAAAGCAGAGGAGGGGCGGGGCACGCGCGGGUCCGCGGGUCACUUUAGAGAAACCCUGCGAGGGUCGCGGUCCCUGAACAGUCGCGGGAGACAGGGAGACGCCCCCCGCGCGCGCGGAAGUCUUGACUGAGAACAACAACUUUUGGGUCAUUUCCUCCGGCUCGAACCGGCGCUGGGGAUUCCGAAGAGCUGGCGCGGGCGGCGAGCCGUGGGCGGUGUUGGGAUGGGCGCCCGGGUUGGGAGAGCCGGGGUGUGACCCGCCAGAAUCCUCCGAAGGUGGCAGCGGACGCGGGACUUUGGGUCAGAGGGUUGGGGCUGGGAGGGGCGGCCGAGAACUGAUUUGUGGCCGGGAUCCUUUUUUCGUCAGCUGCGCCGGCCCGCGGGGGAAGUGAUGGGAGGAGGAAGCCCUUGGGCAGGGUGGAUCGCUGGGCUUUUCCUACAGUCCAGAGGACCAGGGGCCUAGGGGCAAGCCUGGGGCGCCCCAUUUCUAGUUUAAAAUUGCUCACAAGUAGUGGAAGGGAAAGAGGGAGAGCCCUUUAAGAGUCAACAAACAAAAGGGGUGGGAGGAGGCGAGGAAGAUGCGAGCAAUCGAAGGAGAGGAGGAGAAAGUCAGGUCCCUAAAGAGAACACUGUCAGGGAAUGAUGACUUAAUGAGUCCCUCCAGAAGACUGGCAAUUAAAUUACCAGGCAGUCUCCGACUCAGUUUCCUGGACGCCGAAUUAGUUUAAAUAACAUAACAGUUCCUUCUCAUGUACUAAUGCUCUUCUCUAAUAUAUGCUUUACUAAUACGUUCUAAUAUAUUCUCUAAUGACUUUAAAAGUAACUUAAUUUUAGGAGUUAGAUGUGAUUUUUCGUUCACAUUUUAGAUACCACUCAUUUAUUUUUCAGUUUUUUCCAGCUCUAAAGAGAUAUAUAAUUGACAUAUAACAAGGUGUAAGUUUAAGGUGUACAACGUGUUGAUUUGACACAUUUAUAUGUUGCAAAAUGAUUACCUCCAUGGAGUUAGCUAACAACCUCCAUCAUGUGGCUUAAUUUCUUUUUUUGUGGUGAGGACACUUAAGAGUUUCUCUUCUAGCGACUUUAAAGUAUAUGAUACAAUGUUAUUAACUUCAAUCACUUUCUGUAUGUUAGAUCUCCAGAACUUACUCAUCUUAUAACUAGAAGUGUACCCUUUGGACCAAUAUCUCCUCACCCCACGCCUUCUCCUGUUUUUGUGAGCUCACCUUUUUUAUAUUUCACUUGUAAGUGAUAGCACAGAAGUGUUUGCCUUUCUCUGUCUUUUUUUUUUUUACUUAUCAUAAUGCUCUCAAGUUUCACCCCUUUUGUUGCAAGCAGCAGAAUUUCCUUCUUUCUCAUGGCUGAAUAAUACUCCUGUGUGUGUAACUACUUCAUCUCUGUCCAUUCAUGUGUACACAGACGAUGCCUUUUUGUAUCUUGGCUAUUGGAGGCACUGCUCAUUUAAAUCCAAAAACGAAUGGAAGGAAUUACAUAUACUCCAUGGUUCAGCUUUACCUUUCAUUCACUUGAGAAAAAUUUAUUAGGUAUCCAUCCUUAUGGAGGGAACAAGUAGUAGUAUUUUUUUUUUUUUUAUAGGAGAGAAGACUGAAACUCACAUGUUGAUCUGCUUAGCCUCUUACACAGCUAAUUAAGAUUCAGACCCAGGUUUUCUGACUUGCAAGCCUUGUGCAGAUUGAUUCCCUUUCCACCUGGUCACUCCAGCUGUCAGAUAAUAUAUAAUGCUACUAUUUAGCAGCAUGUAAUAGUAAAUCAUGAUUACAUAAAAAUAGAGAUCAUGGGAACAAACUUUUAAAAGUUAGAAUAGAAUGAGCACAAUCUGUUUCAUAGGAAGACACUCUGGUCUAUUAUGGUGUGGUAUCACCACUGAGAGUUGUAAAUAAAUACAGGUAAAAACCCAAAUGGAAACUGAAGCAAGCAAGAGACUCUGAGCUUUGUUCCACUGGACCAUCAUUAGAUCUCAAUUUAGACAGAAAACUAACUUGGUCUAGUCUGUAUUUACCUGAUGGUUGUAUCAAAUCAAGCAGUAUAGUUAUAUUUAAAAAAGUAAACCUCUCUACUCCUUGAUCCUGCUCUCCAUCGUCUACUGACAUUAAUACUUUAGUGGGUAUAGGGGUCAAGUCAGCCUCUUUUUAUGUCAUCAACAAAUAUCAUCAGGUCUCAGCAGUUUGGGGUUGUUAUUUAAAUUUAAUGUGGGUCACAGUGCUUUUAUAUCAAGAGAAGAUGUUUACCAUGCCAAUGGAAAAGUUAUGUCAUUGUAAAAUAAUAAGCCUUUUUAGAGGUUCUUGGAACCUUUGAUACAGCCUUUUACAAUUUCCAACUAUGAGAGAGGAGACUGGUGAUGUGAAGAUUAUAGUUUUAACUUCUGCAUCUAGUUUUGUAAUACAGGGCCAUGUUCAAGCCAUUGGCUAACAGAUUUCUCCUGGUAUUUGAUUGUCACUGCUAAGUUUUAUAAUUUAAAAGCCACGCAGUGUCUCUUCUUGUUAAUGUGGAAAGUGAUAGAAAUAUCUUUUAUAGCCAGAAUAUAGAUAUUUAGUAGGCUGUUUUGUUUCUUGCAUUUUCAUGGUUCAGACUUGGCUGAGGGAAGAAAGAAAGAAAGGCGUUAUCAGGAGCAAGUCAGAUAGUUCAGGCAAAAAGGUUUUUUGUUUGUUUGUUUAGAAGGUUUAGUUUGGGUAAACUAAAAAAAAAAAAGCACAACCUAAAGUUAUGUUUUAUUCAGGACCUUACUGAGGACUAUGGCCUGGAAGCCAGCUUCUCAGCUGGCUUUGAGGGGCUGUUUCAAAGAGGUAAGGGAAGAGUCAGGAUGUACAGGAGUUUUGGGCAGGAGAAAAAAAAAAAAAAAAAA